GAAUUCGUCCCAUUUGUUGAUUCUUGGUUUUAACUCUUGUGCUAUAGGAGUCUUAUUAAGGAAUUUGGGGCCUGCCUCCACGAGAUGAAGAUGAGGACCAACUUUAUCUUCUAUUAGACGCAGAGUCUCUGGUCUGAUUCCUCAGUCUGCCAUCUUGAAAGGGAGAAGAUGACCAAGGUUCAUCAGUGGAUGUGUCCUGUCUUGUGGAAACCCUCACAGUACUUCUCUGGGAGCUCGAGGACGGCCUGGUGCCUGCCCUGCAGCAGGGGAACACCCCCUAUGUCCAUGGGGUUUUGUAUUUGUACCAAGAUUUGGCCAGUACCCAGAAGGCUCUGGAGCUGCUGGGUAAAAGGUAUGGAUGCCACCAGCCAUAUGUUGAGGAGGAGUACCUUCAAGACAAGAAAUCAUGACUCACCUUCUUCUCAUUCCCUAAGAAACAAUAUUGAAGUUAGACCAGUUAAUUACUCUGUAAUGGACUGAACAGUUGGAA